CUCUCGGUAGCCAAGUUGGUUUAAGGCGCAAGACUGUAAAUCUUGAGAUCGGGCGUUCGAAUCGCCCCCGGGAGA
rnacentral:tRNA from 5 species